rnacentral:rRNA from 1 species
AUUGAACGCUGGCGGCAGGACUAACACAUGCAAGUCGGUCGAGCGGCGGACGGGUGAGUAAUGUAAGGGGCUCUGCCUGAUGGAGGGGGAAAAAUACUGGAAACGGUAGCUAAUACCGCAUACCAUCAGAUGAACCCAAAUGGGAUUAGCUUUUAGGUGAGGUAACGGCUCACCUAGGCGACGAUCCCUAGCUGGUCUGAGAGGAUGAUCAGCCACACUGUGACUGAGACACUGCCCCGACUCCUACGGUAGGCAGCAGUGGGGAAUAUUGCACAAUGGGCGCAAGCCUGAUGCAGCCAUGCCGCGUGUAUGAAGAAGGCCUUCGGGUUGUAAAGUACUUUCAGUCGGGAGGCGUUACCGACAGAAGAAGCACCGGCUAACUCCGUGCCAGCCGCCGCGGUAAUAC